CCUGAGAAACCCGAAAGAUCGAACGGGGAGAUUCACCGUCAGCGACGUCGGCUUCUCGGUGUUUCGUGAUGUGCGGCGCCCAUCCGGGCGACGUUGCACGCGUUCACCGCGCCCUAUGUCCGGCUGCGUCGGCGUGCACUUCUCCCCUAGUAGGACGUCGCGACCCGUUGGGUGUCGGUCUACGGCCCGGGCUGUCGCCUGUCCCGUCGCUUCGGCGUCGCGGGUCAGACACCCGGUUGCCCGGCCGGCUGCUCGGCGGUACUCGCACGGUAUCUGGCCGCAAUCUCCAACUGCGUCUCAGGCCCGCCGCAAGCGCGGUCCAGUGUACCUGGAGGUACGGACCUAGUGCCGUCCCCGGUCCCUGGCCCGCUGUUCGCCGGUGGUGUCCUCUGACUGGCCAUCGAACUUUGAUACCGGUCGGCGACGCUACUGCUUUGGGUACUUUCAGG
rnacentral:rRNA from 1 species